GCCAGGUGCGGUGGUGAGUGCCUGUAGUCCCAGCUACUCGGGUGGCUGAGGUGGGAGGAUCACUUGAGCCCAGGAGUUCUGGGCUGUAGUGUGCUAUGCUGAUCGGGUGUCCGCACUAAGUUCGGCAUCAAUAUGGUGACCUCCCGGGAGCAGGGGACCACCAGGUUGCCUAAGGAGGGGUGAACUGGCCCAGGUCAGAAAUGGAGCAGGUCAAAACUCCUGUGCUGAUCAGUAGUGGGAUCGCACUUGUGAAUAGCCACUGCACUCCAGCCUGGGCAACAUAGCGAGACCCCGUCUAU
ensembl:misc_RNA Metazoa_SRP Metazoan signal recognition particle RNA